rnacentral:sRNA from 1 species
CCCAGAGGUAUUGAUAGGUGAAAUCAGCUUUCGGGUUGAUCACAAGAUUUACACCAACCUGCGCAGAUGCGCAGGUUUUUUUU